CCUACGGGAGGCAGCAGUGAGGAAUAUUGGUCAAUGGCCGCAAGCCUGAACCAGCCAAGUCGCGUGAGGGAUGACGGCCCUAUGGAUUGUAAACCUCUUUUGUCAGGGAGUAAAGUGCGCUAUGUAUAGUGCUUUGCGAGUACCUUAUGAAAAAGCAUCGGCUAACUCCGUGCCAGCAGCCGCGGUAAUACGGAGGAUGCGAGCGUUAUCCGGAUUUAUUGGGUUAAAGGGGAGCGCGGGCGGAAUGUCAAGUCAGCGGGAAAAUUUCGGGGCCAAACCCAGCCGUGCAGUUGAAACUGGCGUUCUUGAGUGCGCGAGAGGUAUGCGGAAUGCGUGGUGUAGCGGUGAAAUGCAUAGAUAUCACGAAGAACUCCGAUUGCGAAGGCAGCAUGCCGGCGCUCAACUGACGCUCAUGCACGAAAGCGUGGGUAUCGAACAGGAUUAGAUACCCGAGUAGUC
rnacentral:rRNA from 1 species